AAUUCGCCCUUAGAGUUUGAUCCUGGCUCAGGACGAACGCUGGCGGCGUGCCUAACACAUGCAAGUCGAACGGAGAUACGCGCUGAAUGACGAAGCUUGCUUUUGAAUUCUUGUGUAUCUUAGUGGCGGACGGGUGAGUAACGCGUGAGCAACCUGCCUUUCAGAGGGGGAUAACGUUUGGAAACGAACGCUAAUACCGCAUGAGACUACAGUACUACAUGGUACAGUGGCCAAAGGAGCAAUCCGCUGAAAGAUGGGCUCGCGUCCGAUUAGAUAGUUGGCGGGGUAACGGCCCACCAAGUCGACGAUCGGUAGCCGGACUGAGAGGUUGAACGGCCACAUUGGGACUGAGACACGGCCCAGACUCCUACGGGAGGCAGCAGUGAGGGAUAUUGGUCAAUGGGGGAAACCCUGAACCAGCAACGCCGCGUGAGGGAAGACGGUUUUCGGAUUGUAAACCUCUGUCCUCUGUGAAGAUAAUGACGGUAGCAGAGGAGGAAGCUCCGGCUAACUACGUGCCAGCAGCCGCGGUAAUACGUAGGGAGCAAGCGUUGUCCGGAUUUACUGGGUGUAAAGGGUGCGUAGGCGGCCUUGCAAGUCAGAAGUGAAAUCCAUGGGCUUAACCCGUGAACUGCUUUUGAAACUGUAGGGCUUGAGUGAAGUAGAGGCAGGCGGAAUUCCCUGUGUAGCGGUGAAAUGCGUAGAGAUCGGGAGGAACACCAGUGGCGAAGGCGGCCUGCUGGGCUUUAACUGACGCUGAAGCACGAAAGCGUGGGUAGCAAACAGGAUUAGAUACCCUGGUAGUCCACGCCGUAAA
rnacentral:rRNA from 1 species